ensembl:lncRNA
AUUUCUAGCGCUCCGACAUGCCGAGAAGACAAGAGCCUCUAACACUCCUGGAACACUCCCCUUCCUCUUCCCCCUUGUUUCUCAACUCGAAACAUGUGCGGGUCUGAUUUCCAUGCCCUCGGCAAACCACUCCACCGGGAGCUUUUGUGGAAAACUUCAUACUUUUAGCAAUCAUUUGUGGCCGACUAAUUUGCUCCCUAGUUUGAGUUUACAUUCCGGAGUGUGACAUGAUCUAUUUUUGCAGAGAUCCGGAGUGAGAGAGUGCUUACAUGUCAUGUUUGGCCUCCAGACCUGGAGAAAAGAAUGAAGAAAAGAGUUUUAUGGACCUUGAGAGAAACAGCGUGUUCUCCACAGAACAGUUUGCAGGCCCAUCAAUCUGCUUACACAAUGGAAACGCAUGAGUCAAAAGCAUAGCUGACCAGAGGACAUCAAUGGCUUUAUCUUUCACAAGUAUGUAAAAUUGCUAAUGAUCCAAAAAAAUAAAAAGUAAAUGAGGGCUUUCUUAAAGGGAUAGUUCAUCCAAAAAUGAAAAUCUGUCCAUCAUUUAUUCACUUUUAUAUUAUUCCAAACUUUCAAGCUUCAAAAAUGAUUUAAAACACCAAUAAAGUAUCCUAAAUAGUAAUCCAUACAACUUGUGCACUACCUUCCAAGUCUUCCCAAGACUUUGUGUCAUAAAAAGACUCAAAUUUAAAUCAGUUAGUCAGUGAGAUGAACUCAAGAGACAUCAGUUGAUUCAUUGCAAAGAUCUGACACAAAUCAAACAUCUCCAUGUCUCCCAUGAACAUGCAAACUGGAAGACUAAUGUUAGUCUGUCCAUCUGACAAAAUUACGUAUGACUUCAGUAGACUUAGAGUAUAAUACACAAGUUGUGUAGACCACUUUUAUGAUAUAUGUAUGCUGUUUUUGCAUCAUUUUUAAAACUUGAAAGCC